rnacentral:rRNA from 1 species
AGAGUUUGAUCCUGGCUCAGGACGAACGCUGGCGGCACGCCUAACACAUGCAAGUCGAACGGAGAUGAUUUGAGUUUACUUAGAUCAUCUUAGUGGCGGACGGGUGAGUAACACGUGAGCAACCUGCCUUUGAGAGAGGGAUAGCUUCUGGAAACGGAUGGUAAUACCUCAUAACAUACAGAUACCGCAUGGUGACUGUAUCAAAGAUUUAUCACUCAAAGAUGGGCUCGCGUCUGAUUAGAUAGUUGGUGAGGUAACGGCUCACCAAGUCGACGAUCAGUAGCCGGACUGAGAGGUUGAACGGCCACAUUGGGACUGAGACACGGCCCAGACUCCUACGGGAGGCAGCAGUGGGGAAUAUUGCACAAUGGGGGAAACCCUGAUGCAGCGAUGCCGCGUGGAGGAAGAAGGUUUUCGGAUUGUAAACUCCUGUCUUAAAGGACGAUAAUGACGGUACUUUAGGAGGAAGCUCCGGCUAACUACGUGCCAGCAGCCGCGGUAAUACGUAGGGAGCGAGCGUUGUCCGGAAUUACUGGGUUUAAAGGGAGCGUAGGCGGGCUUUUAAGUCAGCGGUCAAAUGUCGUGGCUCAACCAUGUCAAGCCGUUGAGACUGUAAGCCUUGAGUCUGCACAGGGCACAUGGAAUUCGUGGUGUAGCGGUGAAAUGCUUAGAUAUCACGAAGAACUCCGAUCGCGAAGGCAUUGUGCCGGGGCAUAACUGACGCUGAGGCUCGAAAGUGCGGGUAUCAAACAGGAUUAGAUACCCUGGUAGUCCGCACGGUAAACGAUGAAUGCUCGCUAUGGGCGAUAUAUUGUCCGUGGCCAAGCGAAAGCGUUAAGCAUUCCACCUGGGGAGUACGCCGGCAACGGUGAAACUCAAAGGAAUUGACGGGGGCCCGCACAAGCGGAGGAACAUGUGGUUUAAUUCGAUGAUACGCGAGGAACCUUACCCGGGCUUGAAUUGCAGGUGCAUGAGUCAGAGACGGCUCUUUCCUUCGGGACUCCUGUGAAGGUGCUGCAUGGUUGUCGUCAGCUCGUGCCGUGAGGUGUCGGCUUAAGUGCCAUAACGAGCGCAACCCUUCUCCCCAGUUGCCAUCGGGUAAUGCCGGGCCCUCUGAGGACACUGCCAUCGUAAGAUGCGAGGAAGGUGGGGAUGACGUCAAAUCAGCACGGCCCUUACGUCCGGGGCCACACACGUGUUACAAUGGGGGGUACAGAGGGCCGCUGUCCGGUGACGGUCGGCCAAUCCCUAAAACCCCUCUCAGUUCGGACUGGAGUCUGCAACCCGACUCCACGAAGCUAGAUUCGCUAGUAAUCGCGCAUCAGCCAUGGCGCGGUGAAUACGUUCCCGGGCCUUGUACACACCGCCCGUCAAGCCAUGAAAGCCGGGGGUGCCUGAAGUCCGUGACCGCGAGGGUCGGCCUAGGGUAAAACUGGUGAUUGGGGCUAAGUCGUAACAAGGUA